UAUUUGUAAAGCACUGUCUGAGGUAGUUUCAGAAGUGUUCUCACUGAUAAUGUCUGAAAGGUUUAUGAAAUGCCAGAAAACUGAAACCAGAUAAAUAUAGUGUGCAAGUUUGAAGAAGUAGGAAAUGGAAAAGGAAAGGGGGAUUAUAAACCUGACACUUAUCUUCAAUUUCCUCAAUAAUUCUGGAAGACUACCUGAAAUUGGGAGAUAAUGAAAUUAUUUUGAAGUACAGAUUAGAAUUCAACAGGCUUUAAGAGACUGAAGAUAUGAUAUGAAAAUAAGACAAAGCUUUUCAAGACAGCACAAGAUCUUUUCUAGAUGGUCAUCAGAUGUUUUCUUGUCUAUCUGUGAAUGAUACAGCUGCUCAGCACCUCAUCACAUGUAGUGCAAUCCAUCAUUAGGUGAAGAUUAUCAGUGUUAAAAAUUGUGAAAGACAGAGGAGAAGUUACGGUUUUCAGUCCGCUUUCAGAGGCUCAGGUUCUCUACACUCUGGAUUACAAUGAAGUUUAGAAGGGAGAGGUAAGUGUAAAAUGUUGGCCUGAGAAUUGCUAGAGCAUUGGAGAGAAUAGCAAUUUUAAAAUCUCUCUCCUGUAUUUUAAUAGGCGCAGGAAAUAGGAUUUCUUUCCUAUCUUGUUCUUAUGCUUCCGUUUCUUAUCUAUUUCUCUUUCAUCUUGACUGAAACCAAAGUCAGGGUUUUAGUUCUUGCAGUGAACCAUAGCUUCCAAGCUCAGUGAUCUGAAAAAUUACUGAAAAAAAUUUUAAGAAAGGAACUUAUUAAAAUGAACUGAAAGAUAUUCUUAUGUUGAAAAGAUGAGGGCUAGAGGGGUGAAGGAAGAGGAAAGAAAAGUGCUAUAAAUGGGAUUGAAGAGAAUCUGCAACAAAUACAGGAGACUUGGCAAUUUUGGAUUUAGUGUUACUGCCAAGCAUUGUGACUGUAAAGCUAUUUUAAGGAUUUCUGCAUUUUCUACAGUAAGCAGUACGACAAAUAAAUGUUUAAAGGAAUUCUUUCUCAGUGUUCCAACAUUCUGUCAAUGAUGGUAAAUAAAGAACCACUCUGCAUAAGACAGAAAAUCUUCUACAUUUAUUGAGGACUGAUUUAAUGGUCUAUAAUUAAGUGUAAAAUUGAAAAGGAGAAAAAUAUAAUGAUGAGCAAAAUUUCACAGCUAGGUUUUUCCAUUGCCAAAUGCUUCAGAAGGCUGCAAUUUCACAGCAGGGUUGGUUCCAGGAGUGGAAAUUGGACAUAAAUAAUUCCAGACAGUGUAAAUGUAAAUUUAAAAAAAAUUAAUUAAGAAGCACAUUUUGUCAUAAUACAUUCUCUAUUAAUAAUUAUAAAAUAAUCACAGAGCUAUGGUUUAGAAAUCAACUUAUUAAAAAAAUCUUUAACUAAUUGACUUCAAUUGUAAAUCUGUGACAAAGAAUAUUUCAAACAGUUGGUCAGUUCUGGUGUAUUAUUUCAUGAUAAUUGCACAUAAAAUGGUUGGGAUGUGCUGGCUGCAGGACAAGAAACAUUAAGGCUAUUACAAAUCAGUUAUUUUCAGGUCCGGUAUAAAUAAUCCUGCACUCUAACAUAUCUGUGGACACCAACUAAUAAUGCAUUUAUGUAUUUUUUAUAUUGUUUUUGUUAUUGUUUUUGAUUAGUCUGUGUUUUUCAACAGGAAUGUUAUCAUUAGAUCCUACUUGUUAAAGAAAGUUAUAGGAGAGAAUGACUCUUUUUUUGUACCCAAAUUAUCUUUACUUAGGGGAUAUAUUGCAUACUAAGGCAGUAAAAGGAAAUUGCUGCUCUACAUUCAUGCAAUUGACUUGCAGACAUAUUUAAGUCUUUGGACUGGCUCUGGGGUAGGUUUAUUACAGUGCCAAAUCAGCAAGAUAAGUGUUUCACUGAUGUAUUUUUAUCACGAGAUAUGAGCAGUGUGGGGCCUUUAGAAUAGGUAACAAAAUGAAUAGAGAUUGUGAAAACACACAAGUAAGGCAAUCCACCAGAGCCAGGGAUGCGCUCAACAUGAACACAAGUGCUCUUAAAACAAUUUGUGCCAAUACCAUGUGUAUGGUGCACUCAAAUCUCCUGUCAAACAAAAGGGCUGUGGCACAGAAAAGUGCUGAUUAUAGCAAAUAGCAAUUGACACAGCUCUGUAGUGUUUCUGUUAUUGAUGGGACAGAAUCAUGGCCUGGCUCCACUGCUGGGCUGAAGACCAGCCAGUUUAGGAGCCAACCUUAUUAACUGGUAGUUAAGUGCCAUCAGUAUGUCUGAGACAGGAAACAUGCAAGAAUGAAAACAAUACAUUUAAGCAUACCAAUACAUCAUGAAAAAGGACUCCCAAAGGAUAAAGGGUAACUAAAGGUGAGCAAAUUUGUGAAUUUAACUGUUCCAUUUAAUAACCUUCUACAACAUUGUUGUUGUUUUUUUUAAAUUGUAUUUUAAUUAGAGUAUUGCACACUUGUGGAGUGCCUUAGAAUUUUUUUAAAAAUAACUAAAUGGAUCAAAAUUAUGUUUUGAAUGGAAUGAAGAGCUAAAAAGAAGAGACAGUGAACCAGAAGCAAAUAAUGUUUUUAUGGACACCUUUAUGUAAAAUCUAGAUAAAUACUGACAAAAUUUUCCAGUGGAUGAGCAAUUUUGGUAAAUCCAAAUAAAAACAAAAAUGGCUUUACAAAAUAAAUGAAUCUUCAAAUACUUUAUUGCAACUGCCUUGGCACAGGACUUGGGACUUCAGUGAUAGACUAUAUUUUCUGUAUAUUCCUUCUGCUUAUUUAUCCUGGAUUUUGAGGAUGAAUUAUUUUUAUUUAAUUGUAGUGUUUCCAUUAUUUUGGUAUAUAAAGCAUAUAAAGUAAGUAUUUUUAGUAUAUGAAGUGUAUCAAGCAUAUAAAGUAAGUAUAUUUUAGUAUUUAAAGUAUAUAAAGUAAGCUGAAUGCUAUUUCCAGCACUAUGUAAAUAUGAGUGGGAGGGACAGUUGAGAAAGGUGAUGAAGGUAAGAUUAUUGAGAACAACAGAAGUGAUAGAAGAAAACUUUUGGGCAAUAUUAGUGUCUCAAGGGGACUGCAGAGAGAACCAUUUUUCUAGAGAACCAUUAUGAAAUGAGACAAAUUCCAUGGAUAAGCUUCAUCUUUCCCAUCACAGUAUCCCCCACAGGCUCAGACAGCCAUAAGGGCAUCACUUUUCUCUGGUUGGGACUGUACAAUAAAACUAGACAUCAUCCUAAAGUUAACCACAAAUCCUCAUUUUUCCACUGUCAGCUUCUUUAAAUCUGGCCUUAAAAAUACUUACAUUUGCAAAUUUAUAAGUAAACUUUCUAAAUAUAAGUAGGUUUUAUAUAUAUCCAUUUAAGAGAAGAGCAAAAUUUAGCUAAUGGACUGCCAGUGGCUAACAAAAUGGCUGAUUUGAAAAUUCACUGCAAACACUGUCUUAUUUUUUAUUUUUUUUGCUUUGAUUCUUGGACUUCAAUCAAAGGUGUGGAUAAAUCCAUCAUUCAAGAACAUGUUCCUGUGUGUCCCAAUGGGCACUUAUCUGAUUUCACAGGUAUGAUAAAUUUUGCUAAGAACAGCACCAUCAAAAAUCCCACAAGAGCAAACUGGCCUGGGAGAAAACUAGAAGGUACUGGGAGGAGAAAUGAGCUGUCCCCAGAAUCUUCUCUUCCCCACGGUGAACAACCCCAGACAAUGCCCUCACACCUGCUCCUUCAUGGAAGACUAUUAAAUAUUUCAAUAUGAAUUGAAAAUCAUCUGUUUCAAUCAUCCAAGCUGCAUACACCUCUCAGCAGAUGUGUAUAUGAGCUUUUAUGACUACUGGGUGUCUCCAGUGACUGGAAAUGCACAUUGCCUAGUCUCUGGGAAUCUACAAAAUAGUUGUUGUUUUUUUAACCUCCAGUUUAAUAGUGACAGCUGCUUUUGACUGCAAGUUAAGAAAAAUAUUGAGUCCUUUAGAUGUAACUUGAUACUGAUGUUUUCAGUUCUACAAUUAGUGAUAACUGUGUCCCACCUUUUGUGGAGGUAAACUAAUACAAAGGUCCUCUUUUAUGGUAGAUUUCUGGAAAGCAGCAGGUUACAUAUAUUGAGAAUUAAUAUUACUAUAAGCCUCCACCAUAAGAGGUAAGAGGAUCUUUGGAAAGAAAAUUACUGUAGUGAUUACCUGUGUGCAAGAGAGUAGGGUACUGAUCAAUACUGUUCAGCACACUCCACAGUCAAUAUACAGAAGGUAAAAAGAAUUAGGAAAGAGAAAAAGAGUACAAAAGUUUACAACUAAGCUUUAUUAUAUUGACUGCAGAAAAGAGAAAUUAAGCAGCUAUUAAAAAGCCCCAAAACUGAACAAAACCAAAUAAACAACAAAAAACAAAACUCAGCUGCUUAUCUCGUUUUUUUUGUCCUUUUCAGGUAAAAUAUGACUUCAUAAUUAAUGUUUAUAAAUCACAUGCAGUGUGAUGAAAAGCACCCACAAGUUUCUGAAACUUUACUAUUCCUGCACACACAGGAGCGCUGAAGUCUUUAAGAUAUGAGAAAAGCUCUAUAGGUCUGACACCUUCGUGGUGAAAAGAUUUUUGUGAUUUGUCAAAAAAAGUGAACCUUUCCAUGGGAACACUAUAGUUUCCUGGAAACUUUCUGAGUGGAUCUGGUCUUGUCAGUGGCAGUGUGAAACCAGAGGAGAAGGAACAUGGCAGGGGAACAAGCAGCCUUGCCCUGAAGGAUCUGGUAUAAGAUUAAUAUUUCCAGCCUGGAUCACAAAGAUAAGAAAUUGGAUGCAUGCCUUCCAGCUUCCUCAACCACUAAUUUACUUAUCAGCCUGGAAAGGGGAUUUCUUUUUCUGUACUAUCUUGUUUUGCUUAAAAAAAUGUAUGUUUCUCCUAGUUUUUGCCCUAGUUAGACAGUGAUACAGGAUAAAGGUUUCCAAGUACCUGGAUGCUUAUUGGAUGUGUGUUCAAUAUCAACCAUACAACCAGACAUUUUCAUCUUAGAAUCAUGUCUCUGGUUGUGCUGGUUUUGUCUGGGGGGAGUUAAUUUUCCUGAUAGCAUCUAGAGUAAAGCUGUGUUUUAGAUUUGUGUUUGACAAUGUUUUUGCUACACAGGGAUGUUUUUGGUACUGCUGGGCAGCGCUCACACAGCAUCACAGCCUCUUCUGCUCCUCCCCACCCCAGCAGGCUGGGGGUGCACAAGGAAUUGGGAGGGGACACAGCCAGGACAGCUGACCCUGACUGAGACACAGAGUAUUCCACACUGUAUGGUGCUCACCUUAUAGAGCUGGGGGAAGAAGAAGGAAGGAGGUGUUUGAACAGAACAGAACCAGAACAAUGGUGUUUGUCUUUCCGAGUCACUGCUACUUGUGAUGGAGCCCUGCCCUCCUGGGAAUGGCUGAACACCUGCCUGCCCAUGGGAAGUGGGGAAAAACCUUGAUUU